rnacentral:rRNA from 1 species
UGCCAUAGCCAUAUCACCCUGCAGCCCAAGACUAAGCAGGGUUGAGCCUGGUUAGUACCUGGAUGGGAGACUACAUGGGAAAACUAGGUUGCUGUUGGAA